rnacentral:lncRNA from 1 species
UUCACUUAUCUGAUCACUGGAGCAAAGAUUCAAGAGGAAAUUCAUCUGCUGCACAUAAAUGACCAUCAAGCUUUAUCUCAUCUUUACCAGUAUGCAGAUCCAUUUGUCCACCAGCUGAAAGCACUGUACAACAACAGAAUGGAAGUUCUAGGUCAAAGAAAUGCACUGCAAAGUCACUCCAGAGAAAAACAUCUGCUCCAGGUCAUGCUGCUCCUAGGUCAAGAACCAACAUGAGAGCUAUUCGUCAGUCACUACUUUUUUCAUAUGUUGAAGUUUGUUAUCACUUUAGAGAUGCAUAGGUGGGAUAAAAAUGGUCCUGAUAUGAGUGAAAACUAUGAGGUCAAUGCAGCA